rnacentral:tRNA from 1 species
AGGGCUUUAUCUUAAUUAAAGUAUUUGGGUUGCAUCCAUAAGAUGUAGGUUAAACGCCUGCAAGUCCUA